UCCGACCAAGAAUUAUUGGAAUGUCCCAACUUUUUAAAGUUCAAAUCCAACUCCUUAAAAGUAACUUUGAGAUAGCUCAUAAUCAUCUUUGCAUGAAGACGUAGUGUUUAGGUUGAGUAAAAUAUAAUAAACGAAAAUUACAAAAAAAUAAUAAAAAAUUACAAAAAAAUUAAAGUGGAACAAGAUGGUACACUGCGCACACGCAAAACCUUACACCACAUAAAGGUGAAAAAUAAUCGCACACCAACGGAAUCACUAUUCACACAAAAUAAAAAAAAUUACACCGUAUGUAGACGAAAUUAAACCCAAGAUCUCUCAUAAAUAAGAGUCUUUUGAGUGCCUCCAAUUUUUAAU
rnacentral:lncRNA from 1 species